rnacentral:rRNA from 1 species
GACGAACGCUGGCGGCGUGCUUAACACAUGCAAGUCGAACGAAGUGGCGAACGGGUGAGUAAUACGUGGGUAACCUGCCCUCCUUUUUGGGAUAAGCCUUGGAAACGGGGUCUCAUACCGAAUAAAGGGGGAUGGGCUGGCGGCCUAUCAGCUGGUUGGUGGGGUGGUGGCCUACCAAGGCGGUGACGGGUAGCAGGCCUGAGAGGGUGACCGGACACAUGGUGAGUGAGAUACGGCCCAGACUCGUACGGGAGGGAGCAGUGGGGGAUAUUGCACAAUGUGCGAAAGCCUGAGGCAGGGACGCCGCGUGGGGGAUGAAGGCGUUCGGGUUGUAAACCUCGUUCGAUAGCGAACGGGUAGGUGGAGAAGAAGCGCCGGCUAACUACGUGCCAGCAGCCGCGGUAAUAC